UGGGGAAUUUUGGACAAUGGGGGAAACCCUGAUCCAGCCAUCCCGCGUGUGCGAUGAAGGCCUUCGGGUUGUAAAGCACUUUUGGCAGGAAAGAAACGUCGCGGGUUAAUACCCCGCGAAACUGACGGUACCUGCAGAAUAAGCACCGGCUAACUACGUGCCAGCAGCCGCGGUAAUACGUAGGGUGCAAGCGUUAAUCGGAAUUACUGGGCGUAAAGCGUGCGCAGGCGGUUCGGAAAGAAAGAUGUGAAAUCCCAGAGCUUAACUUUGGAACUGCAUUUUUAACUACCGGGCUAGAGUGUGUCAGAGGGAGGUGGAAUUCCGCGUGUAGCAGUGAAAUGCGUAGAUAUGCGGAGGAACACCGAUGGCGAAGGCAGCCUCCUGGGAUAACACUGACGCUCAUGCACGAAAGCGUGGGGAGCAAACAGGAUUAGAUACCCUGGUAGUCCACGCCCUAAACGAUGUCAACUAGCUGUUGGGGGCCUUCGGGCCUUGGUAGCGCAGCUAACGCGUGAAGUUGACCGCCUGGGGAGUACGGUCGCAAGAUUAAAACUCAAAUGAA
rnacentral:rRNA from 1 species